GAUAGGGCAUAGAGUAAUCCACACAUCAUGGGAUUCAACGGGGCGUUUUAUGAAAGAGCUAUUUCCCAGGAGCACACCUGUGUGUCAAGGCCUCCCUUCCAGCUAGGCCUUUGGAAUCUCCAGUGCUAAACACUGUCUCUUCCUUUGCAGAAGUGAAACAUAAUAAAAAUUCACACUUCACAGUACAGUGAAUAGCAGUAAUCGCGAAACGUGUAAAUAGAACCGAUGUGUACCAGAGUAUGUGGAUUGAUGUUAUAUGAAAUGUGUUUGGGUGCCGUGCAGUAUCCUCUUCCAUGUUCCUACAUACUGAGCAACGACCCUGUACAAUUUCUCUCUAGACAGAACCAUCUGGAAUUCACUCACUGAGGGACUUAUGCCCUGGAGUGGCAGCUACAGGUAGGACUUGUGCAACCAUGUCACGAAGCGAAGAGACAGAGAUGCAUGGAUUAAAUGGA
rnacentral:lncRNA from 1 species